AGCAGCCGCGGUAAUUCCAGCUCCAAUAGCGUAUAUUAAAGUUGUUGCAGUUAAAGCUCGUAGUUGAAUUUCGGGGUCUGUCCGUCGGUCGGGCUUUACGGUCCGUACUGGUGUGAUGGGUUCCUACCUUCUGAAUAACCGGCAUGCCAUUCAGUUGGUGCGCCGGGGAAGCAGAGCUAUUACCUUGAAAAUUAGAGUGCUUAAAGCAGGCUAGUGCUUGAAUAGAUUAGCAUGGAAUAAUAAAUAGGACGGCAUGGUUCUAUUUUGUUGGUUUCUAGGAUCACCGUAAUGAUUAAUAGGGAUAGUUGGGGGCAUUAGUAUUCAAUUGUCAGAGGUGAAAUUCUUGGAUUUAUUGAGGACUAACUUCUGCGAAAGCAUUCGCCAAGGAUGUUUUCAUUAAUCAAGAACGAAAGUUAGGGGAUCGAAGACGAUCAGAUACCGUCGUAGUCUUAACCAUAAACUAUGCCGACUAGGGAUCGGACGAUGUUAAUUUUUAAUGACUCGUUCGGCGCCUUACGGG
rnacentral:rRNA from 1 species